rnacentral:rRNA from 1 species
UACGAAGGGGGCGAGCGUUGUUCGGAAUUACUGGGCGUAAAGGGCGCGCAGGCGGCGCAAGAAGUCAGGCGUGAAAGCCCCGGGCUUAACCUGGGAAUUGCGUUUGAUACUCUUGUGCUGGAGUUCGGGAGAGGAGAGUGGAAUUCCCAGUGUAGAGGUGAAAUUCGUAGAUAUUGGGAAGAACACCGGUGGCGAAGGCGGCUCUCUGGACCGAUACUGACGCUGAGGCGCGAAAGCGUGGGGAGCAAACAGGAUUAGAUACCCUGGUAGUCCACGCUGUAAACGAUGUGUGCUAGACGUUGGGGAGCCUAGCUCCUCAGUGUCGCCGCUAACGCUUUAAGCACACCGCCUGGGGAGUACGGCCGCAAGGUUAAA